rnacentral:sRNA from 1 species
UAGUAGUGCGUAUACGUUUAGUGCCAC